rnacentral:tRNA from 1 species
GCCCGGGUGGUGGAAUUGGCAGACACACAGGACUUAAAAUCCUGCGGACCUUGUGGCUCCGUGCCGGUUCGAGUCCGGCCCCGGGCACCA